ensembl:lncRNA
UACACAGUUAAUGGAUCUGUAAUCAAACAGCCAAUGUGUUUACUGGCACUGUGUAAAACACGUCGUCCUCUAAUGACAGGAGACUGGAUUUGAUUUUAGGUUUACUGUGGAUACUAACAUACAGUGAAGUUCUGGAUUGUUUCCUGUUACCUGACUACAAUUUAUUUUCCUUUACAUCAUCAAAGGUUGCUGUGGCUGAGCCAGAAGCUGCAGAGGAAGCUGUAGAAGAAGAAGUUCCUGUUGAAGAGGCUGCAGAAGAAGAAGCUCCUGUUGAAGAGGCUGCAGAAGAAGAAGCAGUUCCUGUAGAGGAAGAAGCUCCUGUAGAGGAGGAAGCUGAAGAGGAAGAAGCUCCAGCAGAGGAGGAAGCUGUAGAGGAAGAAGCUCCAGCAGAGGAGGAAGCUGUAGAGGAAGAAGCUCCAGCAGAGGAGGAAGCUGCAGAGGAGGAAGCUGUAGAGGAAGAAGCUCCAGCAGAGGAGGAAGCUGUAGAGGAAGAAGCUCCCGCAGAGGUGGAAGCUGUAGAGGAAGAAGCUCCCGCAGAGGAGGAAGCUGUAGAGGAAGAAGCUCCUGCAGAAGAGGAAACUGUAGAGGAGGAAGCUCCAACAGAAGAGGAAGCUGUAGAGGAAGAAACUCUUGCAGAGGAAGAAGUUCUUGCUGAGGAGGAAGUAACACCUGAGGAAGAAGCUCCUGUCGAGGAAGUCUCAGAAGAAGCAGUCACAGAAACAGAAGCACAGGAGGAAGAGGAGGCAGCAGAGGAAGAAGCAGAGUAUGAGGAGACAGAGGAGGAGAUUCAGGACGAGCCCACAGAAACGUAGACUUUGGCGGCGUCUUUGCUGACUGAGCAGGAAAUUACCGACGAGGUGUCGGCGCCGUCUGAGCGUGGCUGGAAGAAAAACAUCACCUCGCCACAACGGCUGCUGCCUCGUUUUUGUGUGUUUGUGCGUCUGUGUGUGUGUGUGUGUGUGUGUGCCUCCAUGUGUGUGUGUGUGAGAGGUUGAAAACAGUUUUUUUCCCUGUUCAAAUCCCUAUUAUGACUGUGUGUGUUUGUGCAUCUGUCUGUCUGUGUGUCCGGAUCAUGUGAAGUCUGUCUGUCUGUGAUCAUCACGCCAAUCUUAAUGUAAAACUGUGUCGUAGCUAAAGGAGGAGUGUGUGAGACGCACUGCAGAGUGUGUCCAUCCCCUCCCUCCCUCUGUUGAACCCCAUCUGAUCCAAUCUGCCACUCCUCUGCUUUUAAACAAACAGUUAAAGGCAGUUCAACAGUGUCACGAAGGGCUGCUGUCCCGCAUGUGUUAGACGCCCGCUUCUGUCUUCAGAUCCAGGUGUGACAGAGUGGGACGGUGGUCGCCCAGUUUCAGGAUUUAAUCUCAUUCUGUCCGUUCGUGUCACUGUAAACACACUUUUCAGUUUAAAAAAUGUGUUCUCAUCUCUGGUCCUAAAGGGCUGCUGUUCUGCCUGAUGUCUGUAAACAAGUCGGAGGCUCUUCAGGAUCUGAAUUUCAGCUUCCUGACUUCAAACUGUGACGUAAACGAGUACUUUCACCUCAUGUUUGUUCAUCCUGUGUGGAUCUAAGGCUGUGUUUUCACUCUGGACCAACACAACAUUUCAACAACUCAGUGAAUUAGUUUGUUUUUGGAUCUUAAACUUUCAUUUUUCUAAAGUUUCUUUCAUCCCAAAUCUUCAGUGAGAACACAGCCUCACACAUGACUCCAUAAAUGUCACCUAUAACAUUUAAUUAACAUAGAUUUUAGGCCUAAAAAACAUUUUUACCUCAUUUUUGUUUUCUUUUAUUCGCCCAAGGCUGCGUUCACACUUCAGACCAACAAAACAUUUCAACAUCCCUGUAUUUAAGCCACUGAUAGGACCUUAGUUGAUGUUUUUAACCCCUAGAUCUGAACAGUUUUGUCUCCGUGAAGCUUCUGAGUAUGAACGCAGCCUUAAACAUGGCCCCCACACCUCUCACACUGACCAUUUAAAGAAAUACCAGCUCUGUUAUUUUUAUUUUUUUUUUUUUUUAGAAAGUGUUGAAUUAUCCUUCGGUGUUGUGACACGCCGACUCCUCAGAGGAGGUCGCGACCUUUUCAUAGCGACACUAACCAGUCUUUUUUACUGCUGGACUUUUUCUGUAGCGGUGAAGUUUUUCAGCUUCGGUGUUUUUAAAGGACAUAUUUUUUAGAAAGCACGUCAGGAAGAAAACAGAAAGCCAUGAGCUCGUUGCGUAGCUGAGCCUGUCGAUGUGACGCAGAAACACUAAACCUUCGGUUAGCGCAGCAAUAAGUAGGGACGCCUGCCAGGCUCCCGUGUGUUCUCUGUCCUGUGGACUCCGAUUGUUGUGACACUUUCCCAUUUGUUCAUGGAGCUGCAAUAAAAGGUUUGGGACAACACA